rnacentral:rRNA from 1 species
GUCGAACGCGUUGGCCCAAUUGAUUGAUGGUGCUUGCACCUGAUUGAUUUUGGUCGCCAACGAGUGGCGGACGGGUGAGUAACACGUAGGUAACCUGCCCAGAAGCGGGGGACAACAUUUGGAAACAGAUGCUAAUACCGCAUAACAGCGUUGUUCGCAUGAACAACGCUUAAAAGAUGGCUUCUCGCUAUCACUUCUGGAUGGACCUGCGGUGCAUUAGCUUGUUGGUGGGGUAACGGCCUACCAAGGCGAUGAUGCAUAGCCGAGUUGAGAGACUGAUCGGCCACAAUGGGACUGAGACACGGCCCAUACUCCUACGGGAGGCAGCAGUAGGGAAUCUUCCACAAUGGGCGCAAGCCUGAUGGAGCAACACCGCGUGAGUGAAGAAGGGUUUCGGCUCGUAAAGCUCUGUUGUUAAAGAAGAACACGUAUGAGAGUAACUGUUCAUACGUUGACGGUAUUUAACCAGAAAGUCACGGCUAACUACGUGCCAGCAGCCGCGGUAAUACGUAGGUGGCAAGCGUUAUCCGGAUUUAUUGGGCGUAAAGAGAGUGCAGGCGGUUUUCUAAGUCUGAUGUGAAAGCCUUCGGCUUAACCGGAGAAGUGCAUCGGAAACUGGAUAACUUGAGUGCAGAAGAGGGUAGUGGAACUCCAUGUGUAGCGGUGGAAUGCGUAGAUAUAUGGAAGAACACCAGUGGCGAAGGCGGCUACCUGGUCUGCAACUGACGCUGAGACUCGAAAGCAUGGGUAGCGAACAGGAUUAGAUACCCUGGUAGUCCAUGCCGUAAACGAUGAGUGCUAGGUGUUGGAGGGUUUCCGCCCUUCAGUGCCGGAGCUAACGCAUUAAGCACUCCGCCUGGGGAGUACGACCGCAAGGUUGAAACUCAAAGGAAUUGACGGGGGCCCGCACAAGCGGUGGAGCAUGUGGUUUAAUUCGAAGCUACGCGAAGAACCUUACCAGGUCUUGACAUCUUGCGCCAACCCUAGAGAUAGGGCGUUUCCUUCGGGAACGCAAUGACAGGUGGUGCAUGGUCGUCGUCAGCUCGUGUCGUGAGAUGUUGGGUUAAGUCCCGCAACGAGCGCAACCCUUGUUACUAGUUGCCAGCAUUAAGUUGGGCACUCUAGUGAGACUGCCGGUGACAAACCGGAGGAAGGUGGGGACGACGUCAGAUCAUCAUGCCCCUUAUGACCUGGGCUACACACGUGCUACAAUGGACGGUACAACGAGUCGCGAACUCGCGAGGGCAAGCAAAUCUCUUAAAACCGUUCUCAGUUCGGACUGCAGGCUGCAACUCGCCUGCACGAAGUCGGAAUCGCUAGUAAUCGCGGAUCAGCAUGCCGCGGUGAAUACGUUCCCGGGCCUUGUACACACCGCCCGUCACACCAUGAGAGUUUGUAACACCCAAAGUCGGCUGGGGUAACCUUUUAGGAGCCAGCCGC